CACCGCGGUUAUACGAGAGGCCCAAGCUGACAGUUACCGGCGUAAAGAGUGGUUAAAUUUAUCAACAAAACUAAAGCCGAACGUCUCCAAAGUUGUACAACGCACUCGAAGAUAUGAAGAUCAACCACGAAAGUGGCUUUACACUCUUUGAACCCACGAAAGCUAGGGAA
rnacentral:rRNA from 1 species